UAGGGAAUCUUCCACAAUGGACGAAAGUCUGAGUGGAGCAACGCCGCGUGAGUGAAGAAGGUUUUCGGAUCGUAAAGCUCUGUUGUUGGUGAAGAAGGAUAGAGGCAGUAACUGGUCUUUAUUUGACGGUAAUCAACCAGAAAGUCACGGCUAACUACGUACCAG
rnacentral:rRNA from 1 species